GGGGAGUACGUUUGCAAGAAUGAACCUCAAAGGAAUUGACGGGGGCCCGCACAAGCGGUGGAGCAUGUGGUUUAAUUCGAUGCAAAGCGAAGAACCUUACCAGAUCAUCGAAGAUAGUUUUCUUACUUUCUCUGGAGUUGCUAAUAACUAACAAUUUUGAAUAUAAUACAAUACUCCACAAUAUUCA
rnacentral:rRNA from 1 species